rnacentral:rRNA from 1 species
CCUACGGGCGGCAGCAGUGAGGAAUAUUGGUCAAUGGACGCAAGUCUGAACCAGCCAUGCCGCGUGCAGGAAGACGGCUCUAUGAGUUGUAAACUGCUUUUGUACGAGGGUAAACGCAGGUACGCGUAUCUGUCUGAAAGUAUCGUACGAAUAAGGAUCGGCUAACUCCGUGCCAGCAGCCGCGGUAAUACGGAGGAUUCAAGCGUUAUCCGGAUUUAUUGGGUUUAAAGGGUGCGUAGGCGGUGGGGUAAGUUCGGAGUGAAAUCCGGGGGCUCAACUUCCGAAUUGCCUUUGAUACUGUUCGGCUAGAGAGCAGUUGCGGUAGGCGGAAUGUAUGGUGUAGCGGUGAAAUGCUUAGAGAUCAUACAGAACACCGAUUGCGAAGGCAGCUUAC